rnacentral:rRNA from 1 species
GAUGAACGCUGGCGGCGUGCCUAAUACAUGCAAGUCGAGCGAACAGACGAGGAGCUUGCUCCUCUGACGUUAGCGGCGGACGGGUGAGUAACACGUGGAUAACCUACCUAUAAGACUGGGAUAACUCCGGGAAACCGGAGCUAAUACCGGAUAAUAUAUUGAACCGCAUGGUUCAAUAGUGAAAGACGGUUUUGCUGUCACUUAUAGAUGGAUCCGCGCCGCAUUAGCUAGUUGGUAAGGUAACGGCUUACCAAGGCGACGAUGCGUAGCCGACCUGAGAGAGUGAUCGGCCACACUGGAACUGAGACACGGUCCAGACUCCUACGGGAGGCAGCAGUAGGGAAUCUUCCGCAAUGGGCGAAAGCCUGACGGGGCAACGCCGCGUGAGUGAUGAAGGUCUUCGGAUCGUAAAACUCUGUUAUUAGGGAAGAACAAAUGUGUAAGUAACUAUGCACGUCUUGACGGUACCUAAUCAGAAAGCCACGGCUAACUACGUG